GGCUCCACAGUGUAGUGGUUAGCAUGUCUGCUUUAUACGCAGAAGAUCCUGGGUUCACACCCCAGGUGGAGCCA
rfam:Pteropus alecto contig83348, whole genome shotgun sequence.